rnacentral:lncRNA from 1 species
AGCUCAGCAUCACUACUCCACUCCUUGACAGAGUCCCUCAUCAGGGUCCUGUAGAACGAAGCCAAGUGUGGAUUUGACCCAGGCCUGCCUGAUGCUGAGGUCUGUGCUCCUGGUCACUCUGCCUCCCAGGAAUGAAUGCCUGGUGUCACACCGAGAGGCCCCUGCCCCUCCCAGAAUAUGUAACACCAUCGGAGACUUGGAGGAACAGCCUGCAGGCUCCAUCUGUGCUGAGUAACAGGCGAACCGGGACUUCUGCCAGGAGCAUAACGAGGGCCAGGCUCGUGUGCCUUGGGUGGUGGUGAGGGGGUGGAGCAGAGAGAGGUGCCAGAGGGGUCAAGGGAUGUCAGGGACAAUCAGGGAGAGACUAGCGAGCCAUUGCUGUGGGCCUGGAGGAUCCAGGUGGCCCUGGGAAGAAGGAGCAAAUGGUAUUUACUUUGCUGUAAUGUAACUCAGCUUAGAACAAUUUAGAAUUUAAAAAUUCUGGUCUCAGAUCUCAUUCCAAGGUGUGCUGGUUACUGGUGAAGGAACUACUGAUCUAAGACGACGAGCGUCCGAUGCUCCUCGGCUGGAGCGAGCUCUGUGAAUGGCGGCAUCUCUGAGCUUCAGCUUCCUCAUCUGUCAAAUGGGGAGGGGACCCACCCAACAAACAAGGGACUUGAGGGGCCUGACUGUCACCAUUAUCUCCCUGAAGGCAAAGCUCACCAGACAACAGUUGGGUUGUGGAGGUGCCUUGAUUGUCAGAUUGCCUAACGCCAUAAAGCAGGUGGGGAUUUGAAGGAGAGAGUGACUGCGGGCAAAAGAGUAGAAGCAGAAGCUCCUCUAAAGAGCCCCACUCCCCUGGGCCCAGUAUUUGAGCAGGUUGUCAGUGUGACCCCAACCUAACUUAAGGGUCUACUCCCCAGGCUGGGCCAAACCCAUCGCAGUCUCCCCAGGUCACAAACAGGCUUCAAGACCAGCAGGACACGCAGCAGUGUCUGAUCUGGAAAGAAGUUCAUUAGAAGGCUGGAUGGUGUGGCAGCAGGGACAGAGGAGAGCAGUGACACUGAUCAAGUGACCUGACGGC